GACGAACGCUGGCGGCGUGCUUAACACAUGCAAGUCGAACGAAGAGCGAUGGAAGCUUGCUUCUAUCAAUCUUAGUGGCGAACGGGUGAGUAACGCGUAAUCAACCUGCCCUUCAGAGGGGGACAACAGUUGGAAACGACUGCUAAUACCGCAUACGAUCUAAUCUCGGCAUCGAGGAUAGAUGAAAGGUGGCCUCUACAUGUAAGCUAUCACUGAAGGAGGGGAUUGCGUCUGAUUGGCUAGAGGGAGGGGUAACGGCCCACCAAGGCGAUGCUCAGUAGCCGGUCUGAGAGGAUGAGCGGCCACAUUGGGACUGAGACACGGCCCAGACGCCUACGGGAGGCAGCAGUGGGGAAUCUUCCGCAAUGGACGAAAGUCUGACGGAGCAACGCCGCGUGAGCGAUGACGGCCUUCGGGUUGUAAAGCUCUGUUAAUCGGGACGAAAGGCCUUCUUGCGAAUAGUGAGAAGGAUUGACGGUACCGGAAUAGAAAGCCACGGCUAACUACGUG
rnacentral:rRNA from 1 species